ACGAUGCGUAGGGGUUCUGAGAGGAAGGCCCCCCACACUGGGACUGAGACACGGCCCAGACUCCUACGGGAGGCAGCAGUGAGGAAUAUUGGUCAAUGGGCGGAAGCCUGAACCAGCCAAGUCGCGUGAGGGAUUAAGGCCCUGCGGGUCGUAAACCUCUUUUGCCGGGGAGCAGUGGUCCGGACGCGUCCGGGCCGGGAGAGUACCCGGAGAAAAAGCAUCGGCUAACUCCGUGCCAGCAGCCGCGGUAAUACGGAGGAUGCGAGCGUUAUCCGGAUUUAUUGGGUUUAAAGGGUGCGUAGGCGGGCAUUUAAGCCGGCGGUCAAAUGUCGGGGCUCAACCCCGGCCUGCCGUCGGAACUGGGUGCCUUGAGUGGGCGAGAAGUAUGCGGAAUGCGUGGUGUAGCGGUGAAAUGCAUAGAUAUCACGCAGAACCCCGAUUGCGAAGGCAGCAUACCGGCGCCCGACUGACGCUGAGGCACGAAAGUGCGGGUAUCGAACAGGAUUAGAUACCCUGGUAGUCCGCACAGUAAACGAUGGAUGCUAUCUGUCCGGGCCGAAUGAGGCCUGG
rnacentral:rRNA from 1 species